AUUCUAUGAUGUCAUGGUUCCUUCUCUAUGCGUGUUCUCUUGAGAACCAAGCAGGAUCAAUAGUUUUCAGAAGAACAGAAGUACAGAAAAAAAUGUGUUGUACUGCCCUAGCUCUACCCCUCCCAGGUUAUGACUCCUUCUGUUACUUUUGACUGGGUCCUACCUUCCGUUUUUGGUCCAGUAACAGGGCUGCCAUUUGGGAAUGGAUUCUCAGGCUCUAGUUGCUCCCCAGAAAAGCCUCAGCAAGUCAUUUUACCCUUUGCCUCUCACUCUACAUGGGUCUUUUCGAGAAUAUCUUAAUGAAAUAUUUCCUCAUCUCUGCGGACAAAGAGAUUUUUAUUGUGGGGGUGUCCCAUUAUUUUCCAUCUCAGGGACUCCUUCUUCAUUGUUUCCUUUUCUCUUCUGCUUCUCUUUCAUGGCUGCGCGUUUCUUCUUCCAGUGUUGCGGGCUAGGUCAGCAGCUGCAGGAGAACUUGAUUAGUGCCUUGCCUCAGUGCAGAUGCAUUUCCCUGACAGCAUCGAUCCUGGGUGCUUUCGCUUUGCAGGCAGCUCCACAGAGGAGGAGCUUGUACUGCAAAGGAGGUGGACUGUUGUCUGUUCAAGAGUUAGCGGGUUUGACCCCAGUCAUCUGGAUGUCAAUUCAUUUUAAAAGGCUACUUUUUAAAAUUGUGGAAAACCUUCGUCAGAAGUCUCAAAGAUAUGAGUGGGAUCACUAA
ensembl:lncRNA